UCUCUCUCUCUCUCUCUCUCUCUCUCUCUCUCUCUCUCUCUCUCUCUCUCUCUCUCUCUCUCUCUCUCUCUCUCUCUCUCAACCAAUUAUCAAAGCAAUCAUUAUGUUAUACUAAGGUGUCAUUCCUUUCCUUUCAGGCAAUUGAGGUGGAGUCGAGCACACGGGUCAAGGAUUUCUGUCAGAACAUAGCUCAGCGUCUCGAGUUAAGGUCGUCAGAAGGAUUCAGCUUGUUCUUAAAAAUAGCAGACAAAGUGAUCUCAGUACCAGAGGGCGACUUUGUCUUCGACUUGAUACGGAAAGCGAGACCAGCUAAAGACGGCUCUCCACCGCAGUUCACGUAUCAGGUGUUUUUCAUGAAGAAGUUGUGGACUAACACCGUGCCAGGCAAAGACGAAAAUGCAGACCUCAUCUUCCAUUACCACCAGGUAUGCUGACAACAGAUCACUUUAAUUUUAGAUGAAUAUUAUCUUGAGUUCUUACAUAGCAGUAUGUGUCUAUAUUUUUUA